GAUGAAACGCUGGCGGCGUGCUUAACACAUGCAAGUCGAGCGAAGCACCUUGACGGAUUUCUUCGGAAUGAAGUUUUGGUGACUGAGCGGCGGACGGGUGAGUAACGCGUGGGUAACCUGCCUCAUACAGGGGGAUAACAGUUAGAAAUGACUGCUAAUACCGCAUAAGACCACAGUACCGCAUGGUACAGGGGUAAAAACUCCGGUGGUAUGAGAUGGACCCGCGUCUGA
rnacentral:rRNA from 1 species